CCUACGGGUGGCAGCAGUGAGGAAUAUUGGUCAAUGGACGAGAGUCUGAACCAGCCAAGUAGCGUGAAGGAUGACUGCCCUAUGGGUUGUAAACUUCUUUUAUAUGGGAAUAAAAUGUUCCACGUGUGGGAUUUUGUAUGUACCAUAUGAAUAAGGAUCGGCUAACUCCGUGCCAGCAGCCGCGGUAAUACGGAGGAUCCGAGCGUUAUCCGGAUUUAUUGGGUAUAAAGGGAGCGUAGGUGGAUUGUUAAGUCAGUUGUGAAAGUUUGCGGCUCAACCGUAAAAUUGCAGUUGAAACUGGCAGUCUUGAGUACAGUAGAGGUGGGCGGAAUUCGUGGUGUAGCGGUGAAAUGCUUAGAUAUCACGAAGAACUCCGAUUGCGAAGGCAGUUCACUGGACUGCAACUGACACUGAGGCUCGAAAGUGUGGGUAUCAAACAGGAUUAGAUACCCGUGUAGUC
rnacentral:rRNA from 1 species